rnacentral:rRNA from 1 species
GAUGAACGCUAGCUACAGGCUUAACACAUGCAAGUCGAGGGGCAGCAUGGUCUUAGCUUGCUAAGGCCGAUGGCGACCGGCGCACGGGUGAGUAACACGUAUCCAACCUGCCGUCUACUCUUGGACAGCCUUCUGAAAGGAAGAUUAAUACAAGAUGGCAUCAUGAGUCCGCAUGUUCACAUGAUUAAAGGUAUUCCGGUAGACGAUGGGGAUGCGUUCCAUUAGAUAGUAGGCGGGGUAACGGCCCACCUAGUCUUCGAUGGAUAGGGGUUCUGAGAGGAAGGUCCCCCACAUUGGAACUGAGACACGGUCCAAACUCCUACGGGAGGCAGCAGUGAGGAAUAUUGGUCAAUGGGCGAGAGCCUGAACCAGCCAAGUAGCGUGAAGGAUGACUGCCCUAUGGGUUGUAAACUUCUUUUAUAAAGGAAUAAAGUCGGGUAUGGAUACCCGUUUGCAUGUACUUUAUGAAUAAGGAUCGGCUAACUCCGUGCCAGCAGCCGCGGUAAUACGGAGGAUCCGAGCGUUAUCCGGAUUUAUUGGGCUUAAAGGGAGCGUAGAUGGAUAUUUAAGUCAGUUGUGAAAGUUUGCGGCUCAACCGUAAAAUUGCAGUUGAUACUGGAUAUCUUGAGUGCAGUUGAGGCAGGCGGAAUUCGUGGUGUAGCGGUGAAAUGCUUAGAUAUCACGAAGAACUCCGAUUGCGAAGGCAGCCUGCUAAGCUGCAACUGACAUUGAGGCUCGAAAGUGUGGGUAUCAAACAGGA